CACUUUGAUUUUUAUCAGAUAUUUGUCUUUGUGCUAAUAUAUGGUUAUGAAGUUCUACUGUUUCAGAUGGAUUUCGUUAAUAAGUGUUCAUGGGAUUAAUACAACAAUCUUCAGCAUUAAUACAAUUUUUCUUUUCUUUCACUAUAAAGGAUUCUUAUUCGUUUGGUUGUUGAAAGAUACCAAGAACUCUCAUCAAAACUAGAGUACAAUUUUCCAUUGAAGUAGCAAGAGUAGAUCUAUGGAGGUGCUUUCCAGGAUUUUGAAGUAACGUGAAGCUGAAUAUUGAAAAUAUGCAAAGACAAAAAGGCUCGAGCGGGAAUCAGGGAGGUUCACUUCCAUUGACUUACAUCGACAGCAGAAGGCAGUAGUCAAGGUGCUCUCCUGAUUAGGUGGUGCUAGAGAAAACGAAGGAAAGCCUAGGUGCAUGGUGCAACAUAUGGUAAUUUGUUGGAUUGUUGCCCCCAAGACAUGAAAGUACUGAAACCAUUGGAAGGGCUUUGACUCUCGGUGUUAACAUCAAGAUGAUCACUGGUGAAUUUGCUCACCCAUUGAUCGUGUUGUAAUAAUAAUACACCUUUGCCAUUUUCCACUAACAUUCUAUUGGACGACGUAGGCCAGAUAACCAGUUGUAAACUUGGAAUGGGAAUAAACAUGUAUCCAUCUUCGGCUUUUCUUGGUACGCACAAGUGGUAGGAACCAACAAACCCCAUGGAUGAAUAUGUCUCUCAAGUCUCAAUGGUUGUAAGUUUUGUCACGUAAGAGACAUGGAGAACAUACCUGGCAGAGAAUCAAGUGAAUUCCUCCAAAGAACUGAUCAGAUUAGAAAGAGCUAGUGUCUUGCGGCUGAAUAGGUAAACAUUCUUAGAAUAAAACUACUAGCAAAUUGGAAAUAUGUUAUACCCAUCUUUCUCAGAUUUUUUCAGAAUGGGAGAUAUGUAAAGGAAGGAACAAAUACUUUUGACAAACUAUUUAGGCCAUCGUCAAAGAUUUUGCAACAUACACAUCCAUUAAUUAGUAUUCAGUAGACAGUGGAAAGAAGUGUCUAAAGGAAACUUGAACCCAGAUGUCUGCAUAGAGGUAAAUCCACAUAAGAUCUCACACCCUCGGCCAAGUUCACAUCACACAUUAGAAUUAUAGAACCUUGACGUGUCUUUAUUCGGUGGAGCAUGGAAUUCUUCUCAUUGUAGAUCGCUGCUUGACAUUGUUUGACAAUCCACUGGUCGACUCUCUUCACACAACUUACAAUGAGCUCAAGCUUAAAAAUGGGUGUGUUCGGCAUUCUAAAUCAAUGUCACAAAGGAGACAAGCGGUAAGAACCACCAAACCCCAUUGACGAAGAUGGUCUCCUGGAAGAUUUGGCACGUAAGAGACGUAGAGAACAUACUUGUUGGAGCAUCAAAUGAUUUCCUCCAAAGAAAUUGAUUAGAUUGGGAAGACUAGUGUCUCGCGGCUGAAUAGGUAAGCAUGCUUGGAGCAUAACGGCUAGCGGCAAUGUCCAACUGCCAUUAGGAACAACCUGAAAAUCUACAUCGACCUCUUUGAUAGCGUGAUAUAGUCAUGUGUGCAUGCAUACAUUCAUAUGUGCAUACAUUCAUACAUCCAUACAUUCAUGCAUACAUUCAUACAUUCAUACAUUCAUACAUUCAUACAUCCAUACAUGCAUGCAUACAUUCAUACAUGCAUACAUUCAUACAUUCAUACAUCCAUACAUGCAUACAUUCAUAUAUACAUGCAUGCUUACAUUCAUGCAUGAAUCUAUGCAUAUUUGCUUUCUUGAUUUAUUGAUUGCUUAUUUACUUAUUUGAUUUCUUAACUAGCUUGCUUGUUUUUUUUUUCUCUCUGUUUACUUACAUUUAUAACUUGUUUACUUCUUGUUUGUUUCUUUGAUUAUUUGAUCGUUACUCACUCCAUAUUGCUUCAUUUCAUUUCUUAAUCUGUGUGUUUACUUCCUUCUUAUUCCCUUCAUUGUUUGCUCAGACCGUACAUGCAAUUCACUUGUUUACUUAUCGUCAAUUUCUUGAUUUCUUUGAUUAUUUGGCAGUCGCUUAUUCAACUGAUUCAUUCAUGGCUUAGCUCUUUCACAUGUUUCC
rnacentral:sRNA from 1 species